UCAAGAAUAUUCCCCAAUGGCCGAAAGGCUGAGGGAGCGACGCCGCGUGUAGGAAGAAGCCCUUCGGGGUGUAAACUACUUUUCUAUGGGAAGAACAAUGACGGUACCAUGGGAAUAAGGGGCUGCUAACUCUGUGCCAGCAGCAGCGGUAAUACAGAGACCCCGAGCGUUAUCCGGAUUUAUUGGGCGUAAAGCGUCUGUAGGCGUCCUGCUUAGUCUUCGGUUAAAUCCCACCGCUUAACGGUGGAUCAGCCGGAGAUACUGGUAGGAUAGAGGUUGGGAGAGGCAAGCGGAAUUGCCGGUGUAGUAGUAAAAUGCGUUAAUAUCGGCAAGAACACCAAAGGCGAAGGCAGCUUGCUGGAACAUACCUGACGCUGAGAGACGAAAGCGUGGGGAGCGA
rnacentral:rRNA from 1 species